CCCUUUUAUACCUAACCCACCCUGUCAACUUUCCCUGUGGGAGGAAACCGGAGUACCCGGGGAAAACCCACGGCUUUCGGCAGAGUGUUGACUUUUACUCUUUUCGCAUGGGGACUGGGUUCGAGUCGCACUGAGAAGGUACUUAGUGAGACUCGAACCUGCAGCCUCAGAGAUGAAAAAAAAAUGUUUGAAAAUGAUUUAAAUAUAC
rnacentral:lncRNA from 1 species